UACGGAGGGUGCGAGCGUUGUCCGGAAUCAUUGGGCGUAAAGGGCGCGUAGGUGGCCACUUCAAGCGUGCGGUGAAAGUCGGGGGCUCAACCCCUGAUCGGCCGUGCGAACUGGGGGGCUGGAGCACUGUAGAGGCAGGCGGAAUUCCGGGUGUAGCGGUGGAAUGCGUAGAGAUCCGGAAGAACACCGGUGGCGAAGGCGGCCUGCUGGGCAGUUUUGCUGACACUGAGGCGCGGACAGCGUGGGGAGCAAACAGG
rnacentral:rRNA from 1 species